UACGUAGGGGGCAAGCGUUGUCCGGAAUCAUUGGGCGUAAAGCGCGUGUAGGCGGUUACGUAAGUCUGCUGUGAAAGUCGGAGGCUCAACCUUCGAAAGCCGGUGGAUACUGCGUGACUAGAGUACGGAAGAGGAGAGUGGAAUUCCUGGUGUAGCGGUGAAAUGCGCAGAUAUCAGGAGGAACACCGGUGGCGAAGGCGGCUUUCUGGACAGAUACCGACGCUGAGGCACGAAAGCUAGGGGAGCAAACAGG
rnacentral:rRNA from 1 species